rnacentral:rRNA from 1 species
UACGUAGGGGCGAGCGUUGUCCGGAUUUAUUGGGCGUAAAGAGCUCGUAGGCGGUUUGGUAAGUUGGAUGUGAAAUCUCCAGGCUCAACUUGGAGGGGUCAUUCGAUACUGCCAUGACUAGAGUUCGGUAGGGGAGUGUGGAAUUCCUGGUGGAGCGGUGAAAUGCGCAGAUAUCAGGAGGAACACCCGUAGCGAAGGCGGCACUCUGGGCCGGAACUGACGCUGAGGAGCGAAAGCGUGGGGAGCGAACAGG